rnacentral:rRNA from 1 species
UACGGAGGGUGCAAGCGUUAUCCGGAUUUACUGGGUUUAAAGGGUGCGUAGGUGGGCUAGUAAGUCCGUGGUGAAAUCUCCAAGCUUAACUUGGAAACUGCCGUGGAUACUAUUAGUCUUGAAUAUUGUGGAGGUAAGCGGAAUAUGUCAUGUAGCGGUGAAAUGCUUAGAUAUGACAUAGAACACCGAUAGCGAAGGCAGCUUGCUACACAAUCAUUGACACUGAGGCACGAAAGCGUGGGGAGCGAACAGG